GAGGGUAUAGCUCAGUGGUAGAGUGUGUGCUUAGCAUGCACAAGGUCCUGCGUUCAAUCCCCAGUACCUCCA
rnacentral:tRNA from 1 species